GACGAACGCUGGCGGCGUGCUUAACACAUGCAAGUCGAACGGAAAGGCCCUGCUUUUGUGGGGUGCUCGAGUGGCGAACGGGUGAGUAACACGUGAGUAACCUGCCCUUGACUUUGGGAUAACUUCAGGAAACUGGGGCUAAUACCGGAUAGGAGCUCCUGCUGCAUGGUGGGGGUUGGAAAGUUUCGGCGGUUGGGGAUGGACUCGCGGCUUAUCAGCUUGUUGGUGGGGUAGUGGCUUACCAAGGCUUUGACGGGUAGCCGGCCUGAGAGGGUGACCGGCCACAGUGGCACUGAGAUACGGCCCAGACUCAUACGGGAGGCAGCAGUGGGGAAUAUUGCACAAUGGGCGGAAGCCUGAUGCAGCAACGCCGCGUGCGGGAUGACGGCCUUCGGGUUGUAAACCGCUUUCGCCUGUGACGAAGCGUGAGUGACGGUAAUGGGUAAAGAAGCACCGGCUAACUACGU
rnacentral:rRNA from 1 species